rnacentral:rRNA from 1 species
GAUGAACGCUGGCGGCGUGCCUAAUACAUGCAAGUCGAGCGAACGGACGAGAAGCUUGCUUUUCUGAUGUUAGCGGCGGACGGGUGAGUAACAAGUGGAUAACCUACCUAUAAGACUGGGAUAACUUCGGGAAACCGGAGCUAAUACCGGAUAAUAUUUUGAACCGCAUGGUUCAAAAGUGAAAGACGGUCUUGCUGUCACUUAUAGAUGGAUCCGCGCUGCAUUAGCUAGUUGGUAAGGUAACGGCUUACCAAGGCAACGAUGCAUAGCCGACCUGAGAGGGUGAUCGGCCACACUGGAACUGAGACACGGUCCAGACUCCUACGGGAGGCAGCAGUAGGGAAUCUUCCGCAAUGGGCGAAAGCCUGACGGAGCAACGCCGCGUGAGUGAUGAAGGUCUUCGGAUCGUAAAACUCUGUUAUUAGGGAAGAACAUAUGUGUAAGUAACUGUGCACAUCUUGACGGUACCUAAUCAGAAAGCCACGGCUAACUACGUG